rnacentral:rRNA from 1 species
AUUGCAGGCUGCAACUCGCCUGCAUGAAGUCGGAAUUGCUAGUAAUCGCAGAUCAGCAUGCUGCGGUGAAUACGUUCCCGGGCCUUGUACACACCGCCCGUCACACCAUGGGAGUUGAGAAUACCCGAAGCCCAUGUCAAAGUGGUCGAAGGUAGGCUUGAUGAUUGGGGUGAAGUCGUAACAAGGUAAC